rnacentral:misc_RNA from 1 species
UUGUGCUCGUCGGUGACAGAGAAAGGGGAAAAUGGCGCCUCGACGGCUUUGAGUGAAAUUGGGAGGUGGGAUUGGGGCAACACGGCCGUAAGGAACUAUAGUUUCACCGUGCACACUCAAAUUGGGAAGAGGUGGCAGAGGCAGUGCGAAUUUUGGGCUGCAAUCAAACUCACUGGUGGAGAUGUGAACACCUCGCCGUGGUUCAUGGCGCCAUUUAUAGCCACGGCGGUCCGGCUAACAAUCAAUGAUCGCGGAAGGCUUUGCUUGCGCAUGGUAACCACGUAUAGAAGAGGUACAGUAAGGGAGGAGCAAGGCAUGGAUGACACCGCGGCGGAAAACACUGAGUCACGGCGACCGCCGGUGAAUAUCUCCAGCCACGCACGAAUGAGCUCGCUGGGUGAUGCCACGUCCAAAGUUAUCCUCCCCCGGAUCGAUUCCCCCCCACUGGAUCACUCGAGCUCAUCUGAUUCAACAGUGCCGUAG